CUGUUGCAUAAAAAUUUAUGUCAUAAUGACAUAAAUUUCGAUCAUGACAUAAAAUCAUGCAUAGCUUAUGUCGUUGACAUAAAUUUCGUUGCAUAAAAAUAUUUAUGUAUUGUUUUAGCUUAUGCCAAGUUAUCACGCGAUAUACAUAAACUGAAUAGUCAUGAACGAGCCUGUUGACAUAAACUUGGCAUAAGUUGUCAUUUUUCAGCCGCAGGAAGCUCUUGCGAAAAAGGGGUCUUCGGCUUCCUAUUUGGACGGGAUAGAGGCCUAUUUUGGUGACCCACACAAACGGUGAGAAGAGGUACAUGUAUAGAGAGAAAGGGGCACAGCAACUGAAAGGAGAGGGAAGUCCAGACACUCUACCAUGGUCUGCCAUUGAAUAAGAAGUCUCUCUUUGGAUCAGGGGGUCAAGCUCCUAGUAUGAAGAUUGUUCAAGAGUCAAGACUGUUGAAGAGGUGACGUCAUGGACCUGGUAGCACCUGGCAAGGGAACUAUAUUACUGUUCAUAAAUCUAUUACUCAAGUAUCCUAAAAACGCUUUAAAAAUUUGAACAUUAACAAAAGUACUAAUUUUCAUUUUUCAAAGAUAAUAAUCAUUAUAUUGACAUUGUGAAUAUAUUUUAUGAUUAUCAUAAAAUUAUUAUAAUGUAAAUGAUGAUAGGUCAUACUAAUACAAAUAAACAAUAAGUAGAAAAGAAGACAACCAAGAAGGAGGAGGAGAAGAAGAAAAAGAAGAGGGUGGAAGAGGAGAAAAUGAGAAGAAGAAGAAUAAAUAACAACACUCAGUUCCUCUUCAUGAUAUUACAGAAAUCUUCAUCUUUAAGUGGAAAUAUUUAUGAAUAGUAUAAUAUAUAAUGUAUGAAAAAAACAUUUUAUCUAAAUCCAAGUUCCACUUUAAUCAUGUUUAUAAAGUCAUAGGACAGGUGACAAGAUAACAUUGUUUCACAAAUUUUAGUGUUCAUUUAUUUUAAAAGUAAUAAAUUUACAUGAAAUGUCAUUCUUUUUGCUUCAUCUCUUUGUUUAUUUUA